UACGGAGGGUGCGAGCGUUGUUCGGAAUCACUGGGCGUAAAGCGCGUGUAGGCGGCCUUUUAAGUCUGAUGUGAAAGCCCGGGGCUUACCCCCGGAAGUGCAUUGGAAACUGGGAGGCUGGAGUACCGGAGAGGAAGGUGGAAUUCCUGGUGUAGCGGUGAAAUGCGCAGAUAUCAGGAGGAACACCGGUGGCGAAGGCGGAUCUCUGGGCCUUACCUGACGCUCAGGCGCGAAAGCUAGGGGAGCGAACAGG
rnacentral:rRNA from 1 species